UGCGUACCUUGGACCAGUGACAGCCUCUGCUCAGAAACCCCAGCCCAGGGGUCCUCCUGAAGCGGCCGCAGAGACAGAGUUUAUCGCGUCUCCCACAUCAGGGUCAAGCUGGGACCGGUGUCCACCAGCCUCCAGCUGUCUGGUUGUCCCGCUUCCCGGUGUUGGGUCACCCAGCGCGGAGCCCGAGGUCCCUUUGGGAGGGUCUGGGGGGGUCAUUCCAGUGCCUGCUUGCCGUGGUGCUGCAGCGUCCUUCCCCCGGGGACCCGCCACGUCCCUGGUCCGCGGUUCCACGUCUGAGAACUGGCUCGGGGGCAGAACCUGGGCGAGGGAUCAUGACUUGUUCACUGGGGCGGCUGCCCUCGGCCUCCUGCCGUCCAUCCUUGCUCUUUUGAGUGUCCGUCUUAGACUGUAUCUUGGUUGGUUGCCCAUCCAUCGAGUCCCCGGGAAGCCGUGUGGUACUGACCACCUGCCCCGCUCGCGCUUCAGGUCCCACAGCAAACCGGGGCGGCUGGCUACCCUGUCUCCUGGGACGGAGGGCACCUGUGGGGAAGGACACGGGUCCUGUUUGCUCCCUCGGGGGCGGCCUCCAUUUCCUGGCUUGUGAUGAGGUUUCCAAUUCUUGUUCCUGACUUCAGAAAGAAGAUUAGAGAGACGCCGCACUAGGUACCAGAAGUAUGUUGACAGUGGAAGAGCAUCAAGGUUCACAAGAUAUGGAGCCAGAAGCUAGUCUGUGGGAAAGUCUUCCAGUCAUGAAUCAGAUGUGUAAACUCAACGAACACCAAGGUUGUGUGAAAUGGCAUUCUUCAGAAUUCCUGAGAUUGUGAGCACAGACACGAAACAAGAGCCCAAAUGUUGAGUGGUGUGCAGAAGUUAAUGUAGCAGGCCUGAGACUGCCGUGCUUAGGAAGACCUGCUUGUAAGGGUGGCCUUCUGCUGGCAUCUGGCAUCAUGGCUCUCAGAGUGUCCCCAGUUAAUGGAAAACUGAUGAGAACGGCUCACUGUGCUUAGACUGUUUAUACAUACAGUGUGCUUGACGCUGGACCCCUGCUUUCCUUCUGGCAGUCUGGAAUUCUCCCAGAAGGUGCACGCUAGGCAGACGCUGUCUAUGUGAACAGCCUCGAAGAAAAGCCGUGGGCACUGAAUCUGGGCUGCCCUGGGCAGCAACAUCACACACGUCGCCGCAUUUUCUCUGCUGAGGGAAGAGUGUCCUCUGUGUGGCUCCACAUGGGAAGGAGAGAGCAUAAGGAAGUCUGCACGUGGAUUCUUCCAGGCUCUGCCUGUAUCUUUCCCCCUUGUGAUCCACCUUUGUGUCCUUGCUACAUUGCUGUACUAAAUCUUAGCUGUGAGGAAAACUAUGUGCUGAGUCCUGUGAGUCUCCGACUAUAACAGAAAAGUGGGAAUAAUAUAUUACAGAGGCUUCUCAGGCAAUUAAUAAAAAUAUGCUUUAGUUUAUUGUCAUUUUUCCUGAAUUUUGAGAUAUGUCUAACAUUCGUCGACUUUUUCAAAUGUGUACUCUAUUGUAUUUCUUUUUUCAUUUUAAAUAUUUACUUUUGUUCCUGAUUUUGUAUUGGUAAUUUUGUAUUCUUAUCCUUAACGAGGGCCUCAAGUGUUAUGAAGCUUCAGGUCCCACAAAACCUGGAUCUACCUCUGUCAUGGAUCCAAGACUUGCUAUCUCUUGUUGAUUUUGUAUUGUCACCUCGUAUUUCACGGGUGGGGAAAUUAAAACCCAAAGGGGGAAGUCAAGCUUACUUGGCAAAACUGGGAUAGGAUCCAGAUCUUUCAACUCCCAAUUUAAUGCUUUUCCCUCCAUUCCUUAAAGGGUUUUGAUGAUUUGUCUGUAAACGAUGGCCAUGAUGCAUUGGACAUACACUGGAUGGCACUUAGGAGACUGAAGCUCUAGUCCCUUCUCUUUCAGUAGAUGGAUAAUCUUGAAUGACCCCUUUCUCUUCUGGAGCACAUUUUCUCCUUUUGUAAAAUAAAGAGGCUGGACUAGAUGCUCUUUAGAGGCCUUUCUCUCUCUGAUGUUCCCAAAGAUCAUCAUUCUAGAAAUGCUGAAUCACAAAUCAUAGUUGAAACCACUCAUCUUCUUGUCCUUGGGUCUUCUCCAUCUCUAAAAAUGGAAAUAAAAUUCUCACCUCUACUGGUUGUUGUGAAGCCCCUGGCACGAUUCAUGAUAGAGCAAGUAAUCAAAAGUUGCUUCCAUCCUUCUGUCCAAUCAGGAACAAAGGUUUUCUUGUUUGAUUUUUGGUCCUUGCCUUUGGAAUCAAAGAAUCUUUGAUCAGCAAACCUAAAUUUUAAAAAGGAAAGAAAAUGAAAUAUACAUACUCUGCUUUUAAACCUUUUUAAAUGGAAGUAUAGUACACGUUGCAAACAGGGAAAAUGCACAAAUAUUAAGUGAACAGAUUAAUGAAUAUUCACAAAGUUAACACACCAAUGAGCAGCAUUUAUAUUAAGUAAUAGAACAUUGCUAGGACUCCCGUGUGAUCCCUUCCAAGUCACUACUUCUGCCCAAGAGUAACCACUAUUCUGACUUGUAACAUCUUUGAUUACAUAAAUGGAAUCCUACAUUACGUACUCUUAUUAUUGUCUGGAUUCUCAUACUUAAUAUUGCUUGAGAUCCAUUCAGGUUGUCUCGUGAGCAGCCUUUCCUUUCUUCUCAUUGCCAUACAGUAUUCCGUUUUAUGACUGGACUAUGAUUGAUUGAUCUAUUCCACUGUUUGCGGAUAUUGGCGUAGUGUCCAGGUUUUUGCUAAUACAGAUAAAGCUGCUAUGAAUAGCCUGGUAUUUAGUUUCUUUGGUAAAUAUAUGUUUCUGUUACAUAUAUGUCUAGAGGUGGAAUUGAUGAUUUGCAGGAUGUACAUGUUUAAUUUUAGCAGAUGGUGCCAAGUAGCUUUCCGUAGUGGCCGUAACAAUUUACACUACCACCAGCAGUGUGUGAGUUCCCGUUACAUCCUUGG
ensembl:lncRNA